AGUGAACGCUGGCGGUAGGCCUAACACAUGCAAGUCGAACGGCAGCACAGUAAGAGCUUGCUCUUACGGGUGGCGAGUGGCGGACGGGUGAGGAAUACAUCGGAAUCUACUUUUUCGUGGGGGAUAACGUAGGGAAACUUACGCUAAUACCGCAUACGACCUACGGGUGAAAGCAGGGGAUCUUCGGACCUUGCGCGAUUGAAUGAGCCGAUGUCGGAUUAGCUAGUUGGCGGGGUAAAGGCCCACCAAGGCGACGAUCCGUAGCUGGUCUGAGAGGAUGAUGAGCAACAAGGGAAAUGAGACACGGUCGAGAGUACUACGGGAGGCAGCAGUGGGGAAGAUUGGAGAAUGGGUGAAAGUAUGAUCCAGAAAUUGAGCGUGAGGGAAGAAGGCCUGCGGAGUGGAAAGUAUUUUAAGUGGGGAGGAAGGGCAGUAAGUUAAUACCUUGCUGUGUGGAAGGUAAAAACAGAAUAAGAAACGGCUAACUUCGUG
rnacentral:rRNA from 1 species